GUGCUCGCUUCGGCAGCACGUAUACUAAAAUUAGAAUGAUACAGAGAAGAUGAGCGUGGCCCCUGUGCAAGGAUGACAUACAAAUUUGUGAAGCGUUCUAUAUUUUU